rnacentral:rRNA from 1 species
CCUACGGGUGGCAGCAGUGAGGAAUAUUGCUCAAUGGACGAGAGUCUGAACCAGCCAAGUAGCGUGAAGGAUGACUGCCCUAUGGGUUGUAAACUUUUUUUAUAUGGGAAUAAAAUGUUCCAUGUGUGGGAUCUUGUAUGUACCAUAUGAAUAAGGAUCGGCUAACUCCGUGCCAGCAGCCGAGGUAAUACGGAGGGUCCGAGCGUUAUCCGGAUUUAUUGGGUUUAAAGGGAGCGUAGGUGGAUUGUUAAGUUAGUUGUGAAAGUUUGCGGCUCAACCGUAAAAUUGCAGUUGAAACUGGCAGUCUUGAGUACGGGAGAGGUGGGUGGAAUUCGUGGUGGAGGGGUGAAAUGCGUAGAUAUCACGAGGAACACCGAUUGCGAAGGCAGCUCACUGGAC